rnacentral:rRNA from 1 species
UGGGGAAUAUUGCACAAUGGGGGAAACCCUGAUGCAGCGACGCCGCGUGAACGAAGAAGGUAUUCGUAUCGUAAAGUUCUGUCCUAUGGGAAGAUAAUGACAGUACCAUAGAAGAAAGCUCCGGCUAAAUACGUGCCAGCAGCCGCGGUAAUACGUAUGGAGCGAGCGUUGUCCGGAAUUUUUGGGCGUAAAGGGUACGCAGGCGGUUUAAUAAGUCGAAUGUUAAAGAUCGGGGCUCAACCCCGCAAAGCAUUGGAAACUGAUAAACUUGAGUAGUGGAGAGGAAAGUGGAAUUCCUAGUGUAGUGGUGAAAUACGUAGAUAUUAGGAGGAAUACCAGUAGCGAAGGCGACUUUCUGGACACAAACUGACGCUGAGGUACGAAAGCGUGGGGAGCAAACAGG